UACGGGGGGGGCAAGCGUUGUUCGGAAUUACUGGGCGUAAAGGGCUCGUAGGCGGCCAACUAAGUCGGAUGUGAAAUCCCCAGGCUUAACCUGGGAACUGCAUCCGAUACUGGAUGGCUUGAAUCCGGGAGAGGGAUGCAGAAUUCCAGGUGUAGCGGUGAAAUGCUUAGAUAUCUGGAGGAACACCAGUGGCGAAGGCGGUGUUCUGGGCCUGUACUGACGCUGAUGCGCGAAAGCGUGGGGAGCGAACAGG
rnacentral:rRNA from 1 species